rnacentral:tRNA from 1 species
CUUUCGAUAGUUUAAACAAAAUGUUAAUUUUGCGUGUUAAAGAUAGGGAGAUCCUUCGAGGGA